GUUCCUUGUACUGUAUUCUGAACCAAGAUCUGGAAGCCCUCCAACAUUUUCAAAACAGAACUGCUUAUUAAUAUAGAGAAAAAGAAGCAGCAUCAGGAUAAUAAACACCCAAACAGCUGACAAAAACCCAACUGCCUCUGGAGAUACUUUUCUAAAACAGAGGAAAAGAAGUGCAGAAAGGAAGAACUGGGAAGUGAUGUUGGCCCAGGCAGAUUCUAACCCUCUAAGUUCCACAGUCUACAAGCAAGAGUGCAUUAAGGCCCACAUAGACUGCAUUCUCUGUGAUUCCAGUGAUAACUUAAGGAAAGCUUCCUGCUGACUCAAAAGGAUUUUUCUUCUUCUGAACUCCUAUUAUGGGAAUGGAUGAAAUCACUUACAGAGCCACAGAAGGAAACAAAGCAAAGCCAGG
ensembl:lncRNA UBA6-DT UBA6 divergent transcript